CCUACGGGUGGCAGCAGUGGGGAAUAUUGCGCAAUGGGCGAAAGCCUGACGCAGCGACGCCGCGUGAGGGAUGAAGGUCUUCGGAUCGUAAACCUCUGUCAGCAGGGAAGCACGGUCACUGUGCUAAUCAGCAGUGAAUUGACGGUACCUGCAAAGGAAGCACCGGCUAACUCCGUGCCAGCAGCCGCGGUAAUACGGAGGGUGCGAGCGUUAAUCGGAAUUACUGGGCGUAAAGCGCUCGUAGGCGGUAUGUCAAGUCAAGGGUGAAAUCCCCGCGCUCAACGUGGGAACCGCCUUUGAAACUGGCAAACUGGAGUGUGUGAGAGGAUAGUGGAAUUCCAGGUGUAGGAGUGAAAGCCGUAGAUAUCUGGAGGAACAUCAGUGGCGAAGGCGACUAUCUGGCACAUAACUGACGCUGAGGAGCGAAAGCGUGGGUAGCAAACAGGAUUAGAUACCCCAGUAGUC
rnacentral:rRNA from 1 species